AUAAGCUUCAUAAGCGCCAGAGCUUGUACCUGCGCGGGGAUUGGUUAUUGCUUGAUGGAAUGACCAAACGGCAGAACGCAAGUUGACGAGGUAGAGGUGUUCGGAUUAUUCGGCGGGGACCUCUCGGUGAUGCACCAACCGUAAGCGGAUCACGGAAAAGGAAUGGGCGACCGUUCUGACAACGUAUUUGCAGGUGCUG
rnacentral:ncRNA from 1 species